UAAUCGGCUCCUACUUGAGAGCUGGGGGUGCUCUCAGGGGCUCCCCAAAGAGCCAGGGGGUGCCGGGGUCCAGCUGGGGACAGGGAUGUGCUCGGCCCCGGGUGCUGCACCCCUCGGGUGGCAUUGCCAGGGUGGGGGGACGGUGACACCCCGCUCUGCUGCUGCUGCUGCUGCUGCUGCUGCUCCCCGCUCUGCUGCACGGCCCCGGCUGCCUCCGCUCCCCGGGCAGCGCGCUCCGCAUCCCGGCCUCAGCAUCCGCGAUCCCCGGAGCGAUCGCUCCUCCCAAACACCAUCACCUGCCUCUCCCUGUCCGCUCUCCUCUGCCGGGCCACCCCUCCAGGAGGCGGUGUCACCUCCGGAGGGGUUUUGUGGGCAGCGGUGGCGACGCCAAACGCUGGGUGCAGCCGGGGCUGGACCCCGCGCUGGGGGCUGCCACGGGACCCUCGUGCACCAGGCGGUGCCCCGGGUGUGGCACGGUGCCCUGGACGCCAUCCCAGCUCUGAGACACCCGUGAGCCUCCCGCCGGCCGUUUUUGAGGGGCAGCGCUGCCGCCCGGCUGCCCCCGGGGCUUUCCCGGAGCGGCAGAGCCCCGCGGGCCGCGCACGGAGUGUCUUUGCUUUAUCUGUUUAAUGAAAACCAAGGCGAGUAGGGCGGCCCAGGGGGGCCCAGCCGUCGGGAGCCGGCGCCCUCCACAAAGCGAUUCCUCGGGGAUUCCUCGGGGAAGCCGAGCGGGACCGCGGGGCAGCCGGGUCUCGGGCUUUCCCGGCAUCAGGACCACCCUGGAGGACUCGGCCACAGCGGGGUCCCUCCUCUGGGUCCCUCCGGGGUUGCUCCCUGGGCAAAACCUCUCCCGUGCGGCCCCUUUUUGGCCGCGGAGGGUCCCCGCGCUGCGGACGAGCCCCGUCCCUCGGUGCCGCGGGCAGCCUGGCCGUCCGGGCGCCCGUUUUUCCCCGCUGAAGACGUGACCCCUUCCUCCUCCUCCUCCUCCUCUUCCUUCUCCUCCUCCUCCUCCUCCUCGCGGCCGCGCGUAAGGAUGCGCGUUCCUCCCGGGAAUCCGCCACGGUGUCGGCAUCCAGAGAAGAAGCAGCAGCUGCAGCCCCCGAGAUCCCGCCCGCCCGGCCUGAAGUUCCGCAUGCAGAAGCGGCCGCGGGGCCCCUCCUGAGCCGCUCCGUCCUCUCCGUCUUUCUCAGGAACGCCGCGGCCCCGGCGCCGUGCGGGAGCACGGUGGGACCGAGCCGAGCCGAGCCGUGCUGCCGGCCCCGGCAGCCUUUUGCUUGACAGAACUGGUUGUUGACCUUAUUUUUUUUUUUUUUUAAUUUUUUUUUUUUUUUGUUCUAAGCACCCCACCCCCUUGGUUUUGUCAUUGACCAGCUGACCUUGUUUGUUUUAUUUUUUUUUUCCCCUUUCCCCCAAUUUUUGCCGUGUCUGUGACAUUUCCUAUCGAUGAGUAAAGAGGGACUCCCGCGUCCUGGUCUUUCUUGUGCACCUUUGGUUGUCACUGUGUGUUUUUCUGCCUCUCCCCCCGUCCGUCCUGGCAGCAGGUAAUGGUGGCACCCAUGGGUGAGCCCACGGGAGAGGAGGAGCCGUCCGUGCCUGCAGGGGCUGGGAUGCUGGAGCUGCUUUGCUGCUGCCCGGGGGCGCUUGCUUGGCUGGAGGGCAGCGGGGCUGGAGGGCCUAGGGAGGAUGGAAUUGCACCUUUCCAGGCUUUCCCAGCCCACUCAGGGAUGCCUCUGCUCUC